rnacentral:rRNA from 1 species
GACGAACGCUGGCGGCGUGCCUAAUACAUGCAAGUAGAACGCUGAAGGAGGAGCUUGCUUCCCUGGAUGAGUUGCGAACGGGUGAGUAACGCGUAGGUAACCUGCCUGGUAGCGGGGGAUAACUCUUGGAAACGAUAGCUAAUACCGCAUAAGAGUAGAUGUUGCAUGACAUUUGCUUAAAAGGUGCAAUUGUAUCACUACCAGAUGGACCUGCGUUGUAUUAGCUAGUUGGUGGGGUAACGGCUCACCAAGGCGACGAUACAUAGACGACCUGAGAGGGUGAACGGCCACACUGGGACUGAGACACGGCCCAGACUCCUACGGGAGGCAGCAAGAGGGAAACUUCGGCAAUGGACGGAAGGCUGACCGAGCAACGCCGCGGGAAGGAAUAAGGGCUUCGGGUCGUAAAGCUCUGUUGUAAGAGAAGAACGAGUGUGGGAGUGGAAAGUUCACACUGUGACGGUAUCUUACCAGAAAGGGACGGCUAACUACGUG